CCUACGGGAGGCUGCAGUGAGGAAUAUUGGUCAAUGGACGAGAGUCUGAACCAGCCAAGUAGCGUGAAGGAUGACUGCCCUAUGGGUUGUAAACUUCUUUUAUAUGGGAAUAAAAUGUUCCACGUGUGGGAUUUUGUAUGUACCAUAUGAAUAAGGAUCGGCUAACUCCGUGCCAGCAGCCGCGGUAAUACGGAGGAUCCGAGCGUUAUCCGGAUUUAUUGGGUUUAAAGGGAGCGUAGGUGGAUUGUUAAGUCAGUUGUGAAAGUUUGCGGCUCAACCGUAAAAUUGCAGUUGAAACUGGCAGUCUUGAGUACAGUAGAGGUGGGCGGAAUUCGUGGUGUAGCGGUGAAAUGCUUAGAUAUCAUGAAGAACUCCGAUUGCGAAGGCAGUUCACUGGACUGCAACUGACACUGAGGCUCGAAAGUGUGGGUAUCAAACAGGAUUAGAUACCCUUGUAGUC
rnacentral:rRNA from 1 species